CAGGGGAUGACCCAGCUUUCAUGAUCCAAAUUAGUACCAAUGACAAAGUCAGAGGAAAAUGGAAAGUCCUAAAAAAUGAGUUGAUGGAAUUAGGAAAACUGAAACUGAAAACUGAAAAAAAGAUCCUCCAAGAUAGUAUUUUCAGAAUUACUACCAGUGCUGUGAAGAAAGGCAGCGGGUGGUUUAGGGAGGUUAAUGCAUGGCUAAAGUAAUGGUGUAGGAAGGAGGGUUUUGGCUUUUUAAAGCAAUGGACCGAAUUUGCCCUUGAGUACAAUUUAUAGACGUGAUGGAUUGCAAGUAAACGGGAGAGGGUCUGCUGGGCGGGGAAACAGUAUGGCAAGCAGGUUGCAUGAGAUUUUAAACUUGUGGUAGAGGGGGAGGGAAACAGAAGAUGG